rnacentral:rRNA from 1 species
UACGUAGGUGGCAAGCGUUGUUCGGAAUUAUUGGGCGUAAAGGGCGCGUAGGCGGUCGGUUAAGUCAGCUGUGAAAGCCCGGGGCUCAACCCCGGAGGGUCGGCUGAUACUGAUUGACUAGAGUACGGAAGAGGUAGCUGGAAUUCCCGGUGUAGCGGUGAAAUGCGUAGAUAUCAGGAGGAACACCGGUGGCGAAGGCGGCCUGCUGGGCAGUAGCUGACGCUGAGGCGCGACAGCGUGGGGAGCAAACAGG